UACAGAGGUCUCAAGCGUUGUUCGGAUUCAUUGGGCGUAAAGGGUGCGUAGGUGGCGGGGUAAGUCAGGUGUGAAAUUUCGGAGCUUAACUCCGAAACUGCAUUUGAUACUGCCUUGCUUGAGGACUGGAGAGGAGACUGGAAUUUACGGUGUAGCAGUGAAAUGCGUAGAUAUCAGGAGGAACACCGGUGGCGAAGGCGGGUCUCUGGGCCGAUACUGACGCUGAGGAGCGAAAGCGUGGGGAGCGAACGGG
rnacentral:rRNA from 1 species